UACAGAGGGUGCAAGCGUUAAUCGGAAUUACUGGGCGUAAAGCGUGCGUAGGCGGCUUUUCAAGUCGUGUGUGAAAUCCCUGGGCUUAACCUGGGACGUGCGCGCGAUACUAGAAAGCUAGAGUAUGGUAGAGGGGUGUGGAAUUUCCAGUGUAGCGGUGAAAUGCGUAGAUAUUGGAAGGAACAUCAGUGGCGAAGGCGGCACCCUGGACUAAUACUGACGCUGAGGUACGAAAGCGUGGGGAUCAAACAGG
rnacentral:rRNA from 1 species